rnacentral:rRNA from 1 species
UACGUAGGGGGCAAGCGUUGUCCGGAAUCAUUGGGCGUAAAGCGCGUGUAGGCGGUCCGGUAAGUCCGCUGUGAAAGUCCAGGGCUCAACCCUGGGAUGCCGGUGGAGUACUGUCGGGCUGAGAGUACGGAAGAGGGCGAAGUGGGAAUUCCCGGUGUAGCAGGUCGGAAAUGCGCAGGAUAAUCGGGAGGAACACCAAUGCGAAGGCGAGCAUCGCCUUGGGACGUUAGU